UGGGGAAUAUUGGACAAUGGGCGCAAGCCUGAUCCAGCCAUGCCGCGUGAGUGAUGAAGGCCCUAGGGUUGUAAAGCUCUUUCACCGGUGAAGAUAAUGACGGUAACCGGAGAAUAAGCCCCGGCUAACUUCGUGCCAGCAGCCGCGGUAAUACGAAGGGGGCUAGCGUUGUUCGGAUUUACUGGGCGUAAAGCGCACGUAGGCGGACUAUUAAGUCAGGGGUGAAAUCCCGGGGCUCAAACCCGGAACUGCCUUUGAUACUGGUAGUCUUGAGUUCGAGAGAGGUGAGUGGAAUUCCGAGUGUAGAGGUGAAAUUCGUAGAUAUUCGGAGGAACACCAGUGGCGAAGGCGGCUCACUGGCUCGAUACUGACGCUGUGGUGCGAAAGCGUGGGGAGCAAACAGG
rnacentral:rRNA from 1 species